UUUCUUCAGGGCAGGGUGUAAUUCCCUACCGGCGGUGAUAGUCCGCGACUCCCCCUUUUGGGGACUGAAUCGGUGGAAUUCCGGUACCGACGGUGAGAGUCCGGAUGAAAGAAGAA
rnacentral:ncRNA from 1 species